UACGUAGGGGGGCAAGCGUUGUCCGGAUUUAUUGGGCGUAAAGCGCACGCAGGCGGUCUCUUAAGUUUCGAGUGACAGGUCAGGGCUUAACCCUGGCAGGCCUUGGAAAACUGGGGGACUUGAGGGCUUCAGAGGGACGCGGAAUUCCAGGUGGAGCGGUGAAAUGCGUAGAGAUCGUAAGGAAGACCAGUGGCGAAGGCGGGUCUCUGGACAGUUCCUGACACUGAGGCACGAAGGCCAGGGGAGCAAAACGGG
rnacentral:rRNA from 1 species